UGUACAAUGUUGUAUUGUUCAGUCGGGAUUAAAGCCCACAUAACAAUUAUUUUGUGUUCAGUCCAGUCUUUCCAAAGACCCGGCUACACAAUAAUACAAUUGAG